rnacentral:rRNA from 1 species
GACGAACGCUGGCGGCGUGCCUAACACAUGCAAGUCGAACGAGUGGCGAACGGGUGAGUAAUACGUGGGUAACCUGCCCUCCUUUUUGGGAUAAGCCUUGGAAACGGGGUCUAAUACCGUAUAAAGGGUGAUGGGCUCGCUGCCUAUCUGCUUGUUGGUGGGGUGAUGGCUACCAUGGCGUGCCGAGUAGCCGGCCUGUGAGGGUGACCGGCAACAUUGGGAAUGGGAUACGGCCCAGGCUCCUACGGGAGGCAGCAGUGGGGAAUAUGGUGCAAUGGGCGCAAGACUGACGCAGCAACGCAGCGUGAAGGAAGACGGUCUACGGAGUGUAAACUUCUUUGGACAGGGACGCGGUACCCGAAGAAGAAGCACCGGCGAACUCCGUGCCAGCAGCCGCGGUAAUAC